GAUCAAGCUACAAAGGGCGCAUGGUGGAUGCCUUGGCACCAGGAGCCGAAGAAGGACGUGGUAAGCUGCGAAAAGCUGCGGGUAGCCGCAAACAGGCUGUGAUCCGCAGAUGUCCGAAUGGGGGAACCC
rnacentral:rRNA from 1 species